AUUGAACGCUGGCGGCAGGCCUAACACAUGCAAGUCGAGCGAGCGGCGGACGGGUGAGUAAUGUAUGGGGACUGCCCGAUAGAGGGGGAUAACUACUGGAAACGGUGGCUAAUACCGCAUACUGUCGGAUAACCUAUAUGGGAUUAGCUAGUAGGUAAGGUAAUGGCUUACCUAGGCGAAGAUCCCUAGCUGGUCUGAGAGGAUGAUCAGCCACACUGGGACUGGGACAAGGCGCAGACGCCGACGGAGACAGCAGAGGGGAAUAUUGCAGAAGGGGCGAAAGCCUGAGGCAGCCAAGCCGCGUGUAUGAAGAAGGCCCUAGGGUUGUAAAGUAUGAUCAGUCGGGAGGCGUUACCGACAGAAGAAGCACCGGGUAACUCCGUGCCAGCCGCCGCGGUAAUAC
rnacentral:rRNA from 1 species